rnacentral:rRNA from 1 species
UACGAAGGGUGCAAACGUUGCUCGGAAUCAUUGGGCGUAAAGCGCACGUAGGCGGCUUCGCAAGUCGGAUGUGAAAUCCCUCGGCUCAACCGAGGACGUGCAUACGAGACUGCGGAGCUUGAGUGCUGAAGAGGAUCGCGGAAUUCCCGGUGUAGAGGUGAAAUUCGUAGAUAUCGGGAGGAACACCAGUGGCGAAGGCGGCGAUCUGGGCAGACACUGACGCUGAGGUGCGAAAGCGUGGGGAGCAAACAGG